CCCUUCUUUUGGAGUAUUCAGGAAGCUGUGUUCUUUGGGUUAGAUUGUUGGGACUCCUGUGUUACUAUGAGCUUGGAUGAACGCUUUCUAGCAGUCUGUGACCUUACAAUGAUGGCCUAGGAACAAAAUUAAGAUCUUGGAUGAAAUGUCAUAAGAGCCACCAAAAAUGUCUCAAGAUCUUCUUCGAAGCAGGUCAUCUUGAGACAAGCAGAACCACGACAAACAAUUUAAAUGGAAGCCUUUAAGCAUCUGGAGAAGACUUUCUGUGACACAUCCCAGACCCUGGGAUUUCUUAUGACAAAGAUCAGCAGCAGUCAUAUGUGGUGGGCGACUGCAAGAUGCCCCCUUGGGAUGUGAUAUGCAGCAGGACCUCCCCAGCUGUGUCAUUGAUGUGUGGCACAUGCUUUAGGGGCGUAGGACGAGGCACAUAGGAUAUAUA